rnacentral:rRNA from 1 species
AUGACCUGUUUCGUUUACCUGGGAAACGACCUGCAUGACAUCGCCCUGGGCAGCACCGUUGUUGUUCCUGUUCGCCGACGGCGGCGGGGUGGAUCCGAAGCCAACGUACUUGCCGCCCUGAGAGGGAGGGAUCCCCUGAGGCUUGGACUCGUUCUCCGCCAUUCUCCUAGCGAAAAAAUCCUCCUUGCUGGCCGCCGACGCCUCAAGCUCCUGCUUGGUGUAUAUGUCCUGAGUGGACUUGGACCUCGUCGGCUGUCUCCCCGAAUCCGCUCCAGCGCCAGCAAACGAUCCGGCCGAUUGGUUCCUACGCAUAUCCGGACGGACCUCGUCGUCCCAAUCGUCCCAUCCACCGCCACCGCCACCGCCUCCGCCCCCUACUCCGGCGGGCAAGGGCGGCCUCCUGGCGGGGGCGGGGGCGCCAGAUCCGGGCGUCUCCUUAACGACGGGCGGGUCGGUCCACGCGCGGCCCUCGGCGAGGGCGACGAUGCGGUCGCGGUAGGCGGCGGCGGCGUUGGAGUUGUACUUGGGGAUGUGGGGCGUGUCCUUGGGCACGCCCCGCGCGGUGAGGAAGGCGUUGAGGCGGUCGUUGCCCCCGGCCUCCAUCUUGCGGAGCUGCGGCUCGGUCCAGGAGUCCAUGGUGACGGAGCGGACGAAGCUGAUGUGCACGCCGAGGCCCCGGUGCUUGCCGGAGCACUCGAGGCACAUGAAGACGCCGUAGGAGACGCUGGCCCACUGCGGGUUCCUCUGCGCGCAGUCGACGCACGUCUUGUUCCCGGGCUGCCCCUGCAGCUCCCUGAGCCGCCUCGCCGCCGUGGACGCCAUCGCCGGGAUCCGGAUCUGCCGCGCCGGAUCCGGGAUCGGGGCCGGUUGGUGGCCGCGGGAGGGCGAGGAGGGGGAAAGGAGGUGGUGGUGGUGGUGGAGGGCUCGCCGACACGGAACGGGGAGCGAGCGAGCGAGCGAGGGGGGAGGUCAAAUACCGUGCGGUGGACGCUUGUGCCCCUGGGCGCGCCGGGGCCGCGCCGAUGGCAGGCUGGUAAUUUCUCCCCGCGGCGGGAGGGCAGGGCGGGGACUCCUCACGGUAGGCGUGGCCGAACGGCCGAACCGAACUGCCCGCGACGCCGACAGCCCGGGCCCACAGCGCAGCAGCAGCGGGACGGACGGGCGAGGAAACUGGGAAAGGGAGCGAGGGGUCAGGACUCAGGAGGAGUCCUACUCGUAGCCGAGUCGGGUCGGGUAGGGCUCGGGUGUGUGGGUGGGCGCUGCACGCGAUACAGCCGGGUGGCCAUCGGGUGGUCUGGGGUCGGGACGGGCCGAAACGCACGCGGGGCCGUCGCUCGGCAAACAAAAACCGACCCCUCCUCUCGCCUCGCGGUUUUUUGA